rnacentral:lncRNA from 1 species
CAAGGUGAUAAUGAACCAAUCAUUAUUCAUUGUGACAAUAUGUCAGCUAUAGGCAUGAUGAAGAAGCAAGGUCGAAGCAUAUUGAGUUACAAAAUCAUUUCAUACAAGACCUCAUCAACAACAGAGAAAUCACUAUGGAUUUCAUCAACACUAAUGAUCAGCCGACAGAUGUCAUGACAAAGUCAACCAAGAAGGAGAAACUCGAGAAAUUCAAGCAUCUACUCCAGAUUGCAGAUUAAGAG